GACGAACGCUGGCGGCGUGCUUAACACAUGCAAGUCGAACGGAAAGGCCUGCUUUCCCUUGUGGAUUGCGGGUACUCGAGUGGCGAACGGGUGAGUAACACGUGAGUGAUCUGCCCCCAACUUGGGUAUAAGCCUGGGAAACUGGGUCUAAUUCCCGAUAGGACUGCAGGGUGGUGCCUGUGGUGGAACACGCUUUUCUAGUGGUUGGGGAUGCGCUCGCGGCCUAUCAGCUUGUUGGUGGGGUAAUGGCCUACCACGGCGGCGACGGGUAGCCGGGCUGGGAGGGGGGACGGCCACAUUGGGACUGAGAUACGGCCCAGACUGCGACGGGAGGCAGCAGUGGGGAGUAUGGCACAAUGGGCGGAAGCCUGAUGCAGCGACGCCGCGUGGGGGAUGACGGACUUCGGGUUGUAAACUCCUUUCGACCGCGAGGAAGCCACCUGGUUGGAAGGGUGGUGACGGUAGUGGUAGAAGAAGCACCGGCUAACUACGUG
rnacentral:rRNA from 1 species